UGAUUGUCAACCAUCGCCGCCCUAAUCACACGUCACUUUUUUAUUAUUUUCCACCUCAGUGCAAAAUAAAAACAUCUUAUCGCGUAGAAAGUCAGUGGGGAAAAAGCAAGUGAAAAUUGCAAGUUAUUGCAAAAAAAAAAUAGUAAGGAGAGAAGGUUCUCGGGGGGUUAGAUUUUUUGUUUGGAGAAAGAAAAAAACUCAUUUGAAAUAAGGUUCAAAAAAUCAUCGCCAUCGGAACGGAAUUGGUUCGGAUGUUGGAAAUACAAUAAACCCUCAGAGUGACGACGGCGAAGAAUCCGAUGGACGGAAGGACACGUAGCUUCUAGGAAGACAGACAGACAGAGCGAGAGAGAUAAAGAGAAUUGUAACAAUGAGAUCGUUUUUUCUGCUUGUCGGUGUGAUUUUGGCUCUGCUUGGGGGAGCUUGGUGCGAGCCGGAGCUGAAGGGACCGGAAAGUGGCACCACGAAGAAAAAGGCGGCGGCGGCGAGCGACGACGUGACGAAGGAUGAUCAGGCUUCGGUUGGGCGCGGGAAUGAGGACGGAGAGAGCUUUAUGUCGCAGUCGGAAAUGAUGCAUAUGUUGGAACGGACUCCGGCUAUCCGAGAGGUUGGCAUCAAGGAGGUGAUCAAGGUUGUGGUGGCGAAUUCCAUUCGGGACGAAGAGAAUCGGAAGGCGCUGAACGAGAUGUUCGAGAGCCAGGAGAGAAUGAUUCAGAAGAUUGAGAACGAGAUCAAAGAGAUGGACCGGAUCAGUUCGGAGGAAGAGGAACAGGAACAGGUCAAGCCGCUGAGCGAGGAACAGCUGCAAGCUGAAGCGGCGUUCGAUCGGGCGAUGGUUGUUCUGAACAAGACAAAAGUGGAUAAAUUACAAGGACACAAGCUGAUGGUGGAGGCGGCGGAGAAAGGACACCCGCUCGCGAAGAGUCAUGUUGCCUGGGCCCAGCUGUUGGGUCAUCCCGUCCAUAUGAAUGUGGAAGCAGCGAAGAAGACUUUUCUGGAGUUGGCUGACGAGGGUUUGCCGGAGGCACAGAUGGGACUCGGGUUUAUGUACGCUACCGGCAUUGGGUUCAACGUGAGUCAGGCCAAAGCGCUGGUUUAUUACACGAUGGCUGCCCUUGGGGACAAUUCUUGGGCUCAGAUGGCGCUUGGCUUUCGGUACUGGGCUGGUGUUGGAGUUCCAAACAGUUGUGAAACAGCGCUUGAUUUCUACCGGAAAGUGGCCACGAAGGUGGCCAAUCAGGUUACCUUUUCAGGGGGAGCUGCUGUGCACCGGAUAAGACUGCUGGAUGAGGUGGAAAAUUCGGGUCCCAGUUCGGGAAUACUGGACAAUGAUCUGAUCGAUUAUUACCAGCUGUUGGCCGAUAAGGGCGAUGUUCAGGCGCAGGUUGGCUUGGGACAGUUGCACUAUCAGGGCGGUCGUGGAAUCCCGCUGGAUCAUCAGAAAGCGCUGCAGUACUUUAGCCAGGCGGCAAACGCUGGCAAUGCCGUUGCAAUGGCCUUUCUGGGGAAGAUUUUCCUGGAGGGAAGCGAUAACAUAAAGGCGGAUAAUGAUACCGCGUUCAAGUAUUUCAAGAAGGCGGCUGAUUUGGGAAAUCCCGUCGGUCAGAGCGGACUGGGGAUAAUGUAUCUGCACGGCAAGGGAGUCUCCAAGGACACUGUGAAGGCAUUGAAGUAUUUCACCCAGGCAGCUGACCAAGGAUGGGUCGAUGGUCAGCUGCAGCUGGGAAAUAUGUAUUUCAGCGGUAUCGGUGUGAAACGGGACUUCAAACUGGCCAACAAGUAUUUCAAUUUGGCAUCGCAAUCGGGUCACGUGUUGGCCUUCUACAAUCUUGGUCAAAUGCACGCUGUUGGGUUGGGAAUGAUGCGCGCCUGCCCGACGGCUGUGGAACUGUUCAAGAAUGUGGCCGAGCGAGGAAAGUGGUCCGAGCAGUUGAUGGCUGCCCAUCAGGAUUACCGAUCGUACCGAUUUGAGGAGGCUUUCAUGCAAUACGCGCUCAUGUCGGAACUUGGCUAUGAAGUGGCCCAAAGCAACGCAGCCUUCCUGCUUGACCGUGGCGAGGUUAAUCUGUUUAUGAAUCGAGACGAGGAACUUAUCAGGGCGUUACAAUUUUGGGGACGAGCAGCCGCCCAAGGAUAUUCCGCAGCGCAGGUGAAACUUGGAGACUAUCACUACUACGGGUUGGGGACGCUCGUGGACUUCGAAAUGGCUGCUUCUCAUUACCGGAUGGCAUCGGAGCAGCAGCACAACGCGCAAGCCAUGUUCAACCUGGGUUACAUGCACGAGCAAGGUCUCGGCAUGAAGAAGGACAUCCAUCUGGCCAAACGCUGUUAUGACCUGGCGGCGGAAACAAGCGUCGACGCAAAGGUUCCCGUUUCUCUUGCCCUGUUGAAGCUGCAGCUGCUUUUCAAGCUGGAAUCACUGCGAGAAUCCCCCUUCAGCGUUCUGCUGGAUCUGGACGAGAACAUCGCCUCCAACUGGGAUCUGUAUCUGAUUACGAUCCUAACCGUGCUGCUGGGUGCGGCCCUGUACUUUCGGAGACCACCGGGCCCUGGUGCCGUCAAUCAGCCUAACCAGCGACCGCAGCAGCAGCAGCAGCAGCAGCAGCAGCGACCAGAGGAUCAGGUUCCACUGCUGGAUUUGCCUCCCCCCGCAGCGAACCCCGCCGGCAACCGGCAACCGGCUCAACAGCGCGAGGAUGCCCCCCAAUGAUGAGAGCACAAUAUAUAUGAGUUAGAGAGUCGAAAGAGAAUUGUAUCCGAGAAUUAUGUAUUAUUUUGUUUUUGUUUCUGUGAAUGCGUGGGGAAUCAAAAAAGAAGGAAAACUCACGGCUGCAAAGGGGCGAUUGAGGCAGCAACGAGAGCAAGGAUGAAUGGCUGUCCAACACUAGUAAUAUUCUGUGAUGCGGACGGACGAAUGCUGCAUUGAAUGGCCGGGUGAAAUAUUAAUCAACUUAUUGGUAUGAUUGAGUCAAAGUGCAUAUAAAUGUGAAUUAAACAUAGGAAAA